UUUAAACUUGAGAGUUUGAUCAUGGCUCAGAACGUACGCUGGCGGCACGCCUAACACAUGCAAGUCGAACGAAGUAGCAAUACUUAGUGGCAGACGGGUGAGUAACAUGUAGGUAUCUGCCCUUUGGCCUGGAAUAACACGAGGAAACUUGUGCUAAUACCGGAUAAGUCUUUACGGAGAAAGCUUUAUGCACCAUUGGAUGAGCCUGCACUUGAUUAGUUUGUUGGUGGGGUAAUGGCCUACCAAGACUUUGAUCAAUAGCUGAUUUGAGAGGAUGAUCAGCCACAUUGGGACUGAGACACGGCCCAAACUCCUACGGGAGGCAGCAGUGGGGAAUCUUGCACAAUGGAGGAAACUCUGAUGCAGCGAUGCCGCGUGAGUGAAGAAGGCCUUUGGGUUGUAAAGCUCUUUCGUCGGGGAAGAAAAUGACUGUACCCGAAUAAGAAGGUCCGGCUAACUUCGUGCCAGCAGCCGCGGUAAUACGAAGGGACCUAGCGUAGUUCGGAAUUACUGGGCUUAAAGAGUUCGUAGGUGGUUGAAAAAGUUGGUGGUGAAAUCCCAGAGCUUAACUCUGGAACUGCCAUCAAAACUUUUCAGCUAGAGUAUGAUAGAGGAAAGCAGAAUUUCUAGUGUAGAGGUGAAAUUCGUAGAUAUUAGAAAGAAUACCAAUUGCGAAGGCAGCUUUCUGGAUCAUUACUGACACUGAGGAACGAAAGCAUGGGUAGCGAAGAGGAUUAGAUACCCUCGUAGUCCAUGCCGUAAACGAUGUGUGUUAGACGUUGGAAAUUUAUUUUCAGUGUCGCAGCGAAAGCGAUAAACACACCGCCUGGGGAGUACGACCGCAAGGUUAAAACUCAAAUGAAUUGACGGGGACCCGCACAAGUAGUGGAGCAUGUGGUUUAAUUCGAAGAUACGCGCAGAACCUUACCAACACUUGACAUGUUCGUCGCGACUCUAAGAGAUUAGAGUUUUCGGUUCGGCCGGACGAAACACAGGUGCUGCAUGGCUGUCGUCAGCUCGUGUCGUGAGAUGUUGGGUUAAGUCCCGCAACGAGCGCAACCCUCACUUUUAGUUGCCAUCAUUAAGUUGGGCACUCUGAAAGAACUGCCAGUGAUAAGCUGGAGGAAGGUGGGGAUGACGUCAAGUCCUCAUGGCCCUUACGUGUUGGGCUACACACGUGCUACAAUGGUAUCUACAACAGGAAGCAAGACGGCGACGUUAAGCAAAUCCUUAAAAGAUACCUCAGUUCGGAUUGCACUCUGCAACUCGAGUGCAUGAAGCUGGAAUUACUAGUAAUCGUGGAUCAGCGUGCCACGGUGAAUGCGUUCCCGGGUCUUGUACACACCGCCCGUCACACCAUGGGAGUUGGUUCUACCUUAAGGCAAGGUUUAAAACCCUUGACCACGGUAUAGUCAGCGACUGGGGUGAAGUCGUAACAAGGUAGCCGUAGGGGAACCUGCGGCUGGAUUACCUCCUUUCUAA
rnacentral:rRNA from 1 species